CCCUAAAUAUCUUUUUUGUAAAAAACAGCACAGAGCUAGGAACUGAGAAGAGGAAAUGAGGGAGCAAGUGGUGUUAGACACAUCAACACUGCCAACUUCUCCUUAUGGGUUUGAAAAAUAGGCUGGGAUAUAGCUUCAUCUCAGGCAACCGAAAACUGGCAAGAAAUUUUUAAUCAGUGUGUUGAUAUACAUUUGGAACCAUCUUGGAUUACUAUAAUGAAAUUUCACCUGCCAGGUGUUUUUAAAAGCCUAUCUGUAGUUAUUAAAACCAGUGCUCUUGUGUUAAAAAUUGACAGGAUUUUCAAGAAAAAUGGACAAAAAGAUUAAGCAAGAUUCAACUCAAAAUCCUAAUAUGUACUACUGCAGUACAAUGGGUCUUUUGUGGUUUUUCUUCUCAAAGUGGGAUACCAUCCUGGGGACGGUGACCACCCAAACGGAACCACGGCAUUUCCUGUGAGCAGAGCACGCCUGGGGAGAAGAUGAGGACCCAGCUCCAUUUGUUUCAAAUUGAGUGAAAAAGACAGCCGUCUGCAAACCAGGAAGAGGACCCUCACCAGACACAGAUCUGCCAGCACCCUGCUCUUGGACUUCCAGCCUCCAGAUCUGUGAGAAUAAAUGUUUGUUGUUUAAACCACCAGUCUUCAACAACCCCCAGUGAUACUUUUGUUAUAACAUCUGGAACAGACUAAGACAAUGACCAAUAAAGACAAUGGUUGUUAUUAUGUUAUCUCCCCAGAUUUUGUGUCUUCAAAGGACCAUAAAGGCGGUCCUUAAAAAGUUAAGAAGUUAAUGUUUUCCUUAAGUUAAAGUUUCAUACCCUAUAAAACCUGUGCCUUGUGGGAAGAUGGGAGAAAAGCAAGAAAUUUGGGGCAGAGAAGACUUCUUGAUACUCUCAAAUCUUAUCACGUGUAAGCAACUACCUGGGCAUGAUACUGCUCUGUAUC